rnacentral:rRNA from 1 species
CCUACGGGUGGCAGCAGUGGGGAAUAUUGCACAAUGGGGGAAACCCUGAUGCAGCGACGCCGCGUGAGUGAAGAAGUAAUUCGGUAUGUAAAGCUCUGUCAGUAGGGAAGAAAGAAAUGACGGUACCUGACCAAGAAGCCCCGGCUAACUACGUGCCAGCAGCCGCGGUAAUACGUAGGGGGCAAGCGUUAUCCGGAUUUACUGGGUGUAAAGGGAGCGUAGACGGCAGUGCAAGUCUGGAGUGAAAGGCGGGGGCUCAACCCCCGGACUGCUCUGGAAACUGUACGGCUGGAGUGCAGGAGAGGUAGGUGGAAUUCCGAGUGUAGCGGUGAAAUGCGUAGAUAUUAGGAGGAACGCCAGUGGCGAAGGCGGCUUACUAGACUGUAACUGACGUUGAGGCUCGAAAGCGUGGGGAGCAAACAGGAUUAGAUACCCGAGUAGUC